ACCGCCCUGUGCGCCGAGGUCGAGGUCUUUCCCUCACAAUUCCUGCUGUCAUCCCCCAGACAGGCACCGGGGCCGCCCGCCGGGGCGGGGACGGCCACUCGCGGCUCCCCCCAACCCGCGGCCGCCUCCCGCGCCACCGGCUGCGCCUUGUGGCGGGGAAUAAACAAGCCGCCCCCCUCCCUCCCCAAGCCCGGCCUUUGUUACGCCGGCUCCCUCCAGGCGCGGCCGCCGGAGGCCGCGGCCGCCGGUUACCGUUAGCGGCCGCCGCUCCCGCCCGGCCUCCGGGCCUCACACCGGGGACGUGGCCCCGCGGAGGGCGGAGCGGCGGCGGGCGGAGCGCGGCCUCCCCGCUCUGCCCGGCCCGGCCCUGCCCCGCUCCGCUCCGCACCGCGGCAUGAUCGCGCUCUCGGCCGCCCGCCCGUGACCCCCCGCCCGGACGCCCACCAGGUGAGCAGCAUCCAGCCUUUUAUACCAGCUUCAAAUCCUGGGCUAAGCUAUGAUCUGCUGAAAAUGGAGGCGCCAGCUCACGUCUCCCUUCAGUGGCAAUAGCACAUAGUGAUGUGGUAUUGAUGGGAAGCCAAAACGCAGCGAGCCAGCAGUAAGACUGCUGAAGUGCUGAGAACAUUCCCAAUUUUAUUUACUCAUCACUGAAAGCAAGGUGGGAGCUUGGAUGAAUUGCUUGCUCUGGAGCACAUGGUGAAGCAGAGCACAGGUCAAGCCGUCCCCGAGCACGCAGCAGCGUGCGAUCCUGAUCUACGUGUGAGUUACAGGAGAAUUUGACAGCGCAGAAGUGCAGGGUGCUGUCAGACAGCAGGUUUGGUGUUCUGAGCGAGCACCGUUAGAGAUCUCACUUUCCAGUAGCUAUGAAUGCUUGAUGAGCUGUCUCAGGGGUAGAGAGUUUUCAUGCAAGCUUAUAGAGCAAGAUGGGUGUUCACAGACAACAUUGUUGGAAAAGCCCUUUGUUAAGUGUAAUGUGAUUAAAAUGAUUAUUUGCUCUUUGCCAUCAUUUACCCAUGACUACGUAAUUUCAAAGACCUGCACACCUGCUACAGUCUGGUCAGAACUACCCCCCCAGCAACUGCUUUGAUCUCGCAAAGUUUAGGCUUGAUGGAAACAGCCUUUCUUUCUGUUUUGUGGUGCAGCAACAGGCAUUUUGGUGGAAGAGGUUUAGAGCUAAUCCCUCUUCGGUGGGCCAUGGCUGAAACACUGCACUGAAAAAAUCCAAUAGAGAAUUUAGGCAGAUAGCUCUGGUUUUCCACAUCUCUGAAGUUUAUGAUAUUUAAGUCAUCUUGCGUGCAUAACGAUUCGGAUUCUGUAGCUGUUUGUGUCUAUCUUCGAGUACGUGUGCAUCACGUCCGUUUUACGUGCUUGAAUUUAUCUGGGUUCGUCUUUCGUAUUCUUUCAGGAGUAUGGAUGAGAGUAUGACCCUUGUUUGUAUCGUUGGGGAUUUUUGUCACGAAGGAUGGUUCGGGGGGAAGAAAAUUCAUCAGCUGUGUUUCAGGCAGAGAAUAUCGGCGCCUUUGUCCAGGCGUUUUGGGAUCCAUGUUUAUGAGAGUAUCGCAAAGUUUAGAAAGCUCUCUUGUAUAGCAUGUGAGCAGGAGCAGAAAAGAUCCUUUAUACGGAAAGGUCUCACAAAUAGUGAAAACAGGCAUUUCUGUCAUGUUUUUGGCUCAAUCACUGCAUAAAAAGUUUUUAACUAACUUUUCAGAUGGUUGAGCUGCUUAAGACUCAGAAUGGACCCUUUGUGCUCCCUGUCCCAAUUAGGAAUUAAUUUUUAAUUAUAUCAACUGAACGUUUUUCAUUAUGAGCACUUGUAGUAGCCCCAGGCCCCUGGCUAUUCCUUUGACAAUGAAUGGCACUGGUUUGUGUAAUAUUGUCUGUCCGAUGACAUUCCGUGGCAUUGUUUCUGUCUUCAUUAUCCGAGUAUGUUAAGUAAGUGUUUGUGGAAAACCUGGUGUAACUUGGAUUAAAACUUGAUGUGAGUUUACUUUUCUCAGUCGUUUAGACGUAUUUCCAGAGUACUAAAAUACCACUUACCGGAUAGUUUCUUGCUCAGUGCUUUGGUUUGCUCUUAAAGGUUUUCACUGGCAUUAAGAACAUUUUGCAGCUCUGGAAAGAGGGCCAGCGGCUUGAGUGAUAGCCCUGAUAAACUAAGAAUGUUACUCCCAGAGCUAAAAAAUGGCAAGUAUUGCCUUUGAAGUACUCUUUGACAUGGAAAUGCGUAGACUGUACUUUUCUUCAGAUUUGGACAAAUAGCUCAGCAAAGCCAAAUCUCCGCACAGGCCGAUGUGCUGGGUGCAGAAGGGACUGCUAUUGAUUUCACUCAGGCUUUAUCUGGCAGAAUCUGGCCCUGAAUGUUUUUUUGUCUUCAGUCCAACCAAGUCGAAGUCAAAGAGCUGCUGACAAUAGGAAGUCUUUUUGGUGUGUAAUACAUGAAAAAGUACUAUGACUCAAUUGAAACCAACAACAAGGUUAUUGUCUGGGAUCCGUUGCCAAAGCGGCGCUUACUGUAUGUGUAGGUGGAAAUUGCAGCGUGUAUUUUGAAAUGCAGUUUAUUAAAGUUACUUCCUCUUUA